rnacentral:tRNA from 1 species
GCUGAAAUAGCUCAGUCGGUAGAGCGACGCACUCGUAAUGCGUAGGUCGAGGGUUCAAGUCCCUUUUUCAGCU